AUUGAACGCUGGCGGCAGGCCUAACACAUGCAAGUCGGACGGUAGCACAGAGGAGCUUGCUCCUCGGGUGACGAGUGGCGGACGGGUGAGUAAUGUCUGGGGAUCUGCCCGAUAGAGGGGGAUAACCACUGGAAACGGUGGCUAAUACCGCAUAACGUCGCAAGACCAAAGAGGGGGACCUUCGGGCCUCUCACUAUCGGAUGAACCCAGAUGGGAUUAGCUAGUAGGCGGGGUAAUGGCCCACCUAGGCGACGAUCCCUAGCUGGUCUGAGAGGAUGACCAGCCACACUGGAACUGAGACACGGUCCAGACUCCUACGGGAGGCAGCAGUGGGGAAUAUUGCACAAUGGGCGCAAGCCUGAUGCAGCCAUGCCGCGUGUAUGAAGAAGGCCUUCGGGUUGUAAAGUACUUUCAGCGGGGAGGAAGGCGGUGCGGUUAAUAACCGCGCCGAUUGACGUUACCCGCAGAAGAAGCACCGGCUAACUCCGUGCCAGCAGCCGCGGUAAAAC
rnacentral:rRNA from 1 species